GACGAACGCUGGCGGCGUGCUUAACACAUGCAAGUCGAACGAAAAGAGGGAAAGAGCUUGCUCUUUCCGGAAUUGAGUGGCAAACGGGUGAGUAACACGUAAACAACCUGCCUUCAGGAUGGGGACAACAGACGGAAACGACUGCUAAUACCGAAUAAGUUCCAAGAGCCGCAUGGCCCAUGGAAGAAAAGGUGGCCUCUACCUGUAAGCUAUCGCCUGAAGAGGGGUUGGCGUCUGAUUAGCUGGUUGGAGGGGUAACGGCCCACCAAGGCGACGAUCAGUAGCCGGUCUGAGAGGAUGGACGGCCACACUGGAACUGAGACACGGUCCAGACUCCUACGGGAGGCAGCAGUGGGGAAUCUUCCGCAAUGGGCGAGAGCCUGACGGAGCAACGCCGCGUGAGUGAUGACGGCCUUCGGGUUGUAAAACUCUGUGAUCCGGGACGAAAAGGCAGAGUGCGAAGAACAAACUGCAUUGACGGUACCGGAAAAGCAAGCCACGGCUAACUACGUG
rnacentral:rRNA from 1 species